CCCUUUAAAACGCGAAGCACGCAUGCGCCACAUCCUUUCUUCCCAAGUGCGGAAAGAGCUGGUCACACAUUUUACACGUUGCAGUGUAACUUGAGGAGCCAGAUGAAGAUGGCUACAGCUAGUGGAAGGGAUCAUAAUAUUUGCCACUGGACAUGGGAGACAUGAGAAGUACUGAUGAAAAAAAAUGGUCUUAGGAUUACCACUAGAAAAAGGGGGCCCUGAGAAGUGCAGAUGAAGACCGGUCCAGGGAUUGCCACUGGAAAAGGGUGACAUGAGAGGAGCAGAUGAAUAAUAACUGGUCUUAGGAUUACCACUAGAAAAAGGGGGCCCUGAGAAGUGCAGAUGAAGACUGGAUCAAGGAUUGCCACUUAUGAAACGGUGACCUGAGAAUCGCAGAUGAAUGAAGAGUGGUUGCAUAGGUUUGCACAAAAUGCAAGAUCUGCUUGCGGGAUUCUUCCAACAUGAGGUCCCUCUGGUGCAAGGAGUCCAGGUCACGGAGGGCACAGGGAAACACUGCAUCGGGUGGAAAAACAAGCGCAGAGGCCCCUGGAUUCCCAAGACAAACUUUCUCAUUCCCGAACUCCGUAUUAUGCACUGACUGUAACAGGAGCUUGAUCCUAACUAUAAACUAGUAAUGAAGUGGUAAAUGGGUUAUGAUCAAAUGUACAUAUUGAAAUAAAUUCUCAUUGAAACUUU